UACGUAGGGUGCGAGCGUUAAUCGGAAUUACUGGGCGUAAAGCGUGCGCAGGCGGCUUUUUAAGACAGGUGUGAAAUCCCCGGGCUUAACCUGGGAAUUGCGCUUGUGACUGGAAGGCUAGAGUGCGGCAGAGGGGGAUGGAAUUCCUGGUGUAGCAGUGAAAUGCGUAGAUAUCAGGAGGAACACCGAUGGCGAAGGCAGUCCCCUGGGUCAGCACUGACGCUCAGGCACGAAAGCGUGGGGAGCAAACAGG
rnacentral:rRNA from 1 species